UGGGGAAUUUUGGACAAUGGGCGAAAGCCUGAUCCAGCAAUGCCGCGUGUGUGAAGAAGGCCUUCGGGUUGUAAAGCACUUUUGUCCGGAAAGAAAUCCUUGGCUCUAAUACAGUCGGGGGAUGACGGUACCGGAAGAAUAAGCACCGGCUAACUACGUGCCAGCAGUCGCGGUAAUACGUAGGGUGCAAGCGUUAAUCGGAAUUACUGGGCGUAAAGCGUGCGCAGGCGGUUUGCUAAGACCGAUGUGAAAUCCCCGGGCUCAACCUGGGAACUGCAUUGGUGACUGGCAGGCUAGAGUAUGGCAGAGGGGGGUGGAAUUCCACGUGUAGCAGUGAAAUGCGUAGAGAUGUGGAGGAAUACCGAUGGCGAAGGCAGCCCCCUGGGCCAAUACUGACGCUCAUGCACGAAAGCGUGGGGAGCAAACAGGAUUAGAUACCCUGGUAGUCCACGCCCUAAACGAUGUCAACUAGUUGUUGGGGAUUCAUUUCCUUAGUAACGUAGCUAACGCGUGAAGUUGACCGCCUGGGGAGU
rnacentral:rRNA from 1 species